rnacentral:lncRNA from 1 species
UAGUCCCAUCUUCCCUGGCUUUAAAUUGACUUUUCUUCUUUUGGCACAGGCAUUUUUUUCAGCAAGUUCAAUUUACCUGGCACCCCAGAGCGUGUGCUGGAAUGGAACCAAUUUCAGCUCCCUGAAUGUGGGUGCAGCAAUCUGAAGGACGUCGGCUGGGACUUGUUAAGGAAGACCUAAAUAUUUACAUCAAAGGUGCCUGUCGCUCCUGGUGCUGGGUGGCUCUACCAGACCCUCCUUUGUUUGCUAAAAGGGAAUAG